GACGAACGCUGGCGGCGUGCUUAACACAUGCAAGUCGAGCGGUAAGGCCCUUUCGGGGGUACACGAGCGGCGAACGGGUGAGUAACGCGUGGGUGACCUGCCUCUAGCUCUGGGAUAAGCCUGGGAAGCUGGGUCUAAUACCGGAUAUGACCUCGCGGUGCAUGUUGCGGGGUGGAAAGCCUUGUGCGGCUAGGGAUGGGCCCGCGGCCUAUCAGCUUGUUGGUGGGGUGANGGCCUACCAAGGCGACGACGGGUAGCCGGCCUGAGAGGGCGACCGGCCACACUGGGACUGAGACACGGCCCAGACUCCUACGGGAGGCAGCAGUGGGGAAUCUUGCGCAAUGGGCGAAAGCCUGACGCAGCGACGCCGCGUGAGGGAUGACGGCCU
rnacentral:rRNA from 1 species